AUGUAUGUGUGGUGGCCAGAAGUAGCCAACUGCCACUUUGCAACUGCCACUCUGCAACGGCUUCCCACACCACCAUGAUGUGGUGAAGCCAAGGGGGUCUUUGCAAGACCCUGAACAGUGUUGUUGAGAUGAUUAGACUCCAGAGCUAUGAGGUUUAAUCAGCCUCUUUGCUUUGUAAGGCGGGACAACAAGUGUACUCUACUGUGUCUAGUCGGAACUGUGUUUCUGCAACGCUAACCAGAACAACUGAUUCACUACUUCGACGACUUCCAGAAAAAAUGAAAACAAACAUGCCAAUGCCGGGGUGGGCCGCAAGUGUGUUGCUGCUGUGGCUACUGUGAAAGACUGUGGUUGGAAGCUACUGUGGCGGUGCCAUGACGACAGAAGGUAAAUGAGCCAUUCAUAUUGGUAUUCACAUGGCUUGACAUCGAACUGGAGCAAGUACAAAACAAAGUUUGUUCUCAGAAUUGAAUGACACGAGAGGAUGUCAUAGUGAGAAGCAGCCUUAGACUGAACGACAUGCUUAGAUUGCGGUGUUUUGUUUGAGGGAGAUGGUCAGUGAGCUGUGAGAAACUCAGCUGUCAAGCACGGGUGAGAGGGAGAAAUACUAUGGAAGGAAUUUGAGGUCGGCUUCUUUGGGCAGAUGAAAUUCUUCCCGGUGUAGUCUCCUCCCCUCUUCAUUUACAACAGAAGUUAACAUCUGUGUUCCCUACUUUCCUUAGUUCUCAGACAUUUUGUCAUCUGUUACCACAACUAUUUAGUGACUCAACAAGAAUUUCCCUAAAUCACUGUGAGAUCUCAUUUGGAUUUUUAAUAAACAGUCACAUUCUAAUGAGGUCUUCAUAAAAACUGACUAAAUAUGUUUA
rnacentral:lncRNA from 1 species